UUAAAAUUUAUAUUAUUUGUUAUCAAAAUUUAAUUUUUAUUUUUUUCUUAAUUUUUUAUUUUUAUUAUUCAUAAUUUCAUUUUAAAUUCUCCGCAAUUUAUUUUCUUAUUAUGGCAUUUGGCAAGUCAAUUUAUUUAAUAAAAAUGUAUUUUUUAUUAUUUAUUUAUUUAUGGCAAUGGCCCAUGAACAAGUCAAAAUUUAUUUAUUUUAAUUUUUUUAUUCAAUUUUUUUUUUAUUUUUUCUCAUUUUUUUCUUCUUAUUAUGGCAAGUCAAUUUAUUUAAUAAUUAAUUAUUUAUUGCCACUUCCGUUUCGUUUCUGUGUCAUGCUUGACUAAGUCUGUGUCGUGCUGUGCUGUGCCAAACCAAGCCAACUAUCGUGUCGUGCCCGUGUCGUGCCUGGCUUUGACCGUUCCGUGUCAGGCCAACUACCGUGUCAUGCUUGUGCCAUGCCCCACCAUUUUCUUGCCCCGUGCCCAUCCCGUGCUCGCUCAGACUGUGUCGUGCCGUGUCGUGCCCAACUCAUACCGUGCCCAAAUCGUACUCGUGUAGGGUUUUUUCUUGCCACGCCUGUGUCGUGCCAUUCCGGCAAGGCCCGCUUAACACCUCUAGAGCUGGAUGACUAGUGGGUCAUUUGGAUCAGCCUUGGUGAAAGUGAUGCUUUUUGGUUCGGACGUCAUCUGUCUCGGCUUCUUAGCCAUGAUUGGACCGAGAAAAGCUCAUUCAUUUGUCUAAUCAUUCGGAUCUCUUCUCAGAUUCUAUUCUCAAGAUUUGGAUGGUUUGGGCCCCAAUCAUGUGAAUAGUACCCAAAGGAAGAUACUUAUCCUCUUCCACAGGCUGGUCUGCUUCAUCAUCGCAUCAGUUGAACCUCGGGUUUGGUCUGACCACGACUUUUCCUGCUUAAGUCUUUUCCUUGUCAACAAACUCCUUCAAGUGUCCAUCUCGGACGAGUUGAUCAAGA
rnacentral:lncRNA from 1 species